AGAUGUGCAGAGAGUAGGCCCCUUGCAAUAUAUGUGGUACAUUCCACUUGUGCCAGAUUGUUAGCUGGGAUCUUUAAAUAUUCUGAGCUUACACUGCAAAGUCGUUUUUUCUCUCAGAGUCUGGAAAGAGCAGUGAAAGAAAAGAUGGUCGAUCGCGUUCCCAUUCCCAUUCACGUUCAGAAUCCAGAUCUAGUUCAAAAUCUCGAAGAAAAAGAUCACACUCAAAACGCAGGAGUAGAUCCCGUGAUAGAUCACGCUCUAGUCAAAAGGACAGACGCAGAUCCAAAAGUCCUCUCCCAAAGCGUUCAAAGUCUAAAGAAGAUCGCCGAAGAUCAAGAAGCAGUUCUCCUCCUCGGUGAGAUUCCUAUAAUUACGGCUAUUACAUAUUUUUGAUAUCACCAAACACUAAGAGGCUUAGGACUAAUCCUAAAACUUAAAUUUAAUAGUACAUCUUGCUAUUGAAUUAUAAUUGCAUGUUAUCCAGCUGUAUAUACAAACGGCAUGAAUAGCAGUUAGCAUAAUAUCAUUUUUGUUUACUGAUUUUUCUAUCUGCUAUUUUGUAAUUUUUCUGCCAUCAGUACUCGGUGCAACUUGUUAAAGGACAAUUUUGGAAUUAAGUUUACUUGACUUGUGCUCUCUUACAGUAAUGUUAGGAAAGCUGAAUUAAUAAAUAUUUUCUUUUCUCAGGGAGAAGAGGAAAGAAAGCAAAGAGAGGAUUAGAGAAAAAGAAAAGAUUAGAGAGAGAGACAGAGAUAAAGAAAAAGAGAAGGAUAGAGAUCAAGAAAAGGAUAAGGGCAAGGAAAAAGAGAGAGGCAGAGAAAAAGAGAGAGGGAGAGAGAGGGAGAAGGAGAAGACCAAGGAUAGAGACAAGGACCGAAUGAAAGAUAGGGAGAAGGAGCGAGAAAAAGACAAAGAGAAGGAGAAGGACAAAGAAAAAGAGAAGGAGAAAGCAGCAGAUAUGGAAAAAGAAAAGAGAGAAGAUUUGGACAAAGAAGGAGAAAAAGAAAAGGAGAGAGAGACAGAAGGAGACAAAGAGAAGGAUGACAAAGAACACGUCAAAGAAAAGGAGGAAGACAAAGGAAAGGAGGAAGAAAAGGACCAUGAAAGAGAUAAAGAAGGAGAGAAAGCAAAAGACAAAGAAAGAGACAGAGACCGAGAAAGAGAUGAAAAAAAGAAAAAGGAGAAGAGAUCUAAAACACCUCCUAGAAGUUAUAGUUCCUCAAGAAGAUCACGUAGUUGUAGCAGAGAUCGAAGGAAGAGGAAGAGCCGAAGUCCUUCAAAGUCUCCCAGAUCAUCCAAAGUCACAAAAAGGAAAUCAUCUCGGUCUCCAUCUCCAAGGAGGUAAGUGCAUUGAUUUAUCAUGCAGAGCUUUUGUAUUGUUCAGGCUCUUCUGCAGUACAUGCCUCUCAUUAACAGCAAGUAGAUUAAUGCAAAAAGAAACGCCGAACAAAGAAGAAACAGGAAACAUAUAUUUGGCUUUUCUUCUUUGAUUAAUAAUACCUUCAAUAUUUUUUUUUCCUUUGAAAUGGAGAAUUCAUUUUGAAAAUAAUUUUUAGUAGCAGUUGCCUGACUGGAAGUUGAAAAAAACACCUUAGAAAAAAAGGCGGUGAUAAAACAGUUAUUUAAAGACUGCAGAGGAAACAUGUUUGAACUUGGCUUAAGGCAGCCUUUAGCCUAAUUGUCGCUAUUGGAGCUUGCUGCAGUGCAUCCUAAAAGGAUUAAUAAGGUGCAGGAUUUUUUCGUUUGAUGGAUACACUGUUUUUUACUGCUGUUGUAAGCUGCCCAUAGUUGUUUAAGAUGGCCAGCCAUACAAAUCUUCUAGAUCAAUCAAUCAAUAAAUAAACAAACUUUAAGAUGAUUUAAAUAUUC
rnacentral:lncRNA from 1 species